rnacentral:lncRNA from 1 species
AUAAAGUUUCACUAAAGAGAAAAUAAAAUUCCACCAGGCAGAUCUGGAUGAAGAAAGGCAGAAGCCUUUCUUUACAACUCAGUGGAACCACUUGCAACAGUUUAUUCAACUGCUCCUGAUCAUUUAAGAGCUGCUUCAGAGAAGGAGCUGUGCUGUUAAAAGAGUUUAGAGCCUGUUUUUUGCUUGACCAGGAUCCUGUGAAAAUAUGGGGACAGUAGAGAAGGUGUUUUGCAGAAUUUUGCUGCUUCUUUUACUACAGUGUGAAAUAGGUUGGAUGCAAGAAGCAGUAAAUUCUCCAGCUUUUAUAGAAAGUACUUGCCUCUCCAGCAUAUUUUGGGUGAAGCUAGACAAGUCCUUUCUUCAGAAGAAGUUUUUCAAGAUCGAAGUAAUUGGUGAGCUAUCUGAGAUAUUAGAAUAUUGCUUAUACUUGCAACUUGAGCAAGAACUU